rnacentral:rRNA from 1 species
AUACAGAGGGUGCGAGUGUUAAUCGGAAUUACUGGGCGUAAAGCGCGCGUAGGCGGCUUGGUCAGUCGGAUGUGAAAGCCCCGGGCUCAACCUGGGAAUGGCAUUCGAUACUGCCAGGCUAGAGUAUGGGAGAGGGAAGUGGAAUUUCCGGUGUAGCGGUGAAAUGCGUAGAUAUCGGAAGGAACACCAGUGGCGAAGGCGACUUCCUGGCCCAAUACUGACGCUGAGGUGCGAAAGCGUGGGGAGCGAACAGGAUUAGAAACCCUAGUAGUCC